rnacentral:rRNA from 1 species
AUUGAACGCUGGCGGCAUGCCUUACACAUGCAAGUCGAACGGUAACGCGGGGCAACCUGGCGACGAGUGGCGAACGGGUGAGUAACGCAUCGGAACGUGCCCAGUAGUGGGGGAUAGCCCGGCGAAAGCCGGAUUAAUACCGCAUACGACCUAAGGGUGAAAGGGGGGGAUCGCAAGACCUCUCGCUAUUGGAGCGGCCGAUGUCAGCUUAGGUAGUUGGUGGGGUAAAGGCCUACCAAGCCGACGAUCUGUAGCUGGUCUGAGAGGACGACCAGCCACGCUGGGACUGAGACACGGCCCAGACUCCUACGGGAGGCAGCAGUGGGGAAUUUUGGACAAUGGGCGCAAGCCUGAGCCAGCCAUGCCGCGUGCGGGAAGAAGGCCUUCGGGUUGUAAACCGCUUUUGUCAGGGAAGAAAUCCUUUGGGUUAAUACCUCGGGGGGAUGACGGUACCUGAAGAAUAAGCACCGGCUAACUACGUGCCAGCCGCCGCCGUAA